GGCGGCAUGGCUAAGACAUGCAAGUCGAACGGACUAUGUUGAAGAGUAAUCGGAUUCAUAGUUAGUGGCGAAAGGGUGAGGAAUAGAUAGGUAACGUACCUUUGGCUUCGGAAUAGCUCAUCGAAAGGUGGGGUAAUGCCGGAUGAUGUCAUUGGCUUAAUGUCGAUGACCAAAGAUUUAUCGGCCAAUGAGCGGCCUAUCUCCUAUCAGCUAGUUGGUGAGGUAACGGCUCACCAAGGCGACGACGGGUAGCGGGACUGAGAGGUUGGCCCGCCACAUCGGGACUGAGACACUGCCCGGACCUCCACGGAGGGCUGCAGUAACGAAUAUUGGGCAAUGGGCGAAAGCCUGACCCAGCAAUGCCGCGUGUAGGAUGAAGCCUUUCGGGGUGUAAACUACUUUCAGGGAUUAGAAAGCUACGGUUGAUCAAUCCCAGAAGAAGUCACGGCUAACUUCGUGCCGGCAGCCGCGGUAAUACGAAGGUGGCAAGCGUUAUUCGAAAUCACUGGGCUUAAAGGGUGCGUAAGCGGAUCUGAAAGUGUCUUGUGAAAUCCCUCGGCUUAACCGAGGAAUUGCUCGGCAAACUACAGAUCUUGGGGCAAGUAGGGGUGUGUGGAACUCUUGGUGGAGCGGUGGAAUGCGUAGAUAUCAAGAGGAACGCCGAAAUGAAGACAGCACACUGGACUUGUACUG
rnacentral:rRNA from 1 species